UAAUUGGUCGGCUGCUUCAAU
ensembl:piRNA 21ur-3885 ncRNA